rnacentral:tRNA from 1 species
UCCCUAGUGGCUCAGAUGGUAAAGUGUCUGUCUGCAAUGCAGGAGACCCGGGUUUGAUCCCUGGGUUGGGAA